rnacentral:rRNA from 1 species
AUUGAACGCUGGCGGCAGGCCUAACACAUGCAAGUCGAGCGGAGCGGCGGACGGGUGCGUAAUGCCUAGGAAUGUGCCUGGUCGUGGGGGAUAAGGUUCGGUACUGGGCGCUAAUACCGCUAACUAUCAGAUGAGCCUAGGCCGGAUUAGCUAGUGGGUGGGGUAAAGGCCUACCUAGGCGACGAUCCGUAGCUGGUCUGAGAGGAUGAUCAGCCACACUGGAACUGAGACACGGUCCAGACUCCUACGGGAGGCAGCAGUGGGGAAUAUUGGACAAUGGGCGAAAGCCUGAUGCAGCCAUGCCGCGUGUGUGAAGAAGGUCUUCGGAUUGUAAAGCACUUUAAGUUGGGAGGCGUUACCAACAGAAUAAGCACCGGCUAACUCCGUGCCAGCAGCCGCGGUAAUAC